rnacentral:rRNA from 1 species
CCUACGGGCGGCAGCAGUGGGGAAUAUUGCACAAUGGGCGCAAGCCUGAUGCAGCCAUGCCGCGUGUGUGAAGAAGGCCUUCGGGUUGUAAAGCACUUUCAGCGGGGAGGAAGGCGGUGAGGUUAAUAACCUCAUCGAUUGACGUUACCCGCCGAAGAAGCACCGGCUAACUCCGUGCCAGCAGCCGCGGUAAUACGGAGGGUGCAAGCGUUAAUCGGAAUUACUGGGCGUAAAGCGCACGCAGGCGGUCUGUCAAGUCGGAUGUGAAAUCCCCGGGCUCAACCUGGGAACUGCAUUCGAAACUGGCAGGCUAGAGUCUUGUAGAGGGGGGUAGAAUUCCAGGUGUAGCGGUGAAAUGCGUAGAGAUCUGGAGGAAUACCGGUGGCGAAGGCGGCCCCCUGGACAAAGACUGACGCUCAGGUGCGAAAGCGUGGGGAGCAAACAGGAUUAGAUACCCUUGUAGUC